rnacentral:misc_RNA from 1 species
GCAGUUUGAACAUCCUCCUAUCCACUUGCACUGUUCAGGCAUGGCAAUGUGCUCAACAUUUUGUCCCCGGUUAUCCUUUCACCUGAAUUGCAAAAAAUCCUUAUCACUUUUCCCAGUUAAGCAUCGCUUCUUUGUUACAAUCAAGGCCUUCUCUUCUCAAACUUCUGCUCCCAAAGCUGAUGAUCUUCCAGCAAGUAUUGGCUUUUUAGGUCUUG